rnacentral:lncRNA from 1 species
GGCUAGCCUGAUAUAACCCUCCAUCCUUUUCAAACAUGCCCUCUGGCCUGUCUCCCCCACUGUUUAUGGGUGUCCAAGGCAACCUCCUUCCUGCCACUACACUCCUCCUUCCGAAAUGUAAAGAGAAUCCUUUCGCUCUUUAUUGGCUGCCACUGUGGGGGGAAAGAAGAGGAAGAAAUGUGAUUUGCACGCAAGAUGACAGCUGUGUUCAGAGGUAUCCUAUAAAUGAAAAGGAGAGAAGGAGGGAAAUUUGAAAAUAAUUUUGGAGAAACAGGACAAUGAGCCUUGCGAGAACAAGCAGCAAAACUCAGCUGAUAAGGACACAGGGUUGCAACUGGAGGAAGCCAAGCCUGGAGCAGCCAAAGCGUCUGGUCUACAAAAAGAUCAUCAAACCACUAAUGGAGAAGAAACGAAGGAACCGAAUUGCUCAUUCUCUCAAUCAGCUAAAGGCUCUAUUGCUAGAUGGGUCCAAUCCAGGCAACAAGGCUCUUUCUAAUUCUCGCAUGGACAAGGCAGCUCUUUUGGAAAUGACUGUAAAGCGGAUCCAAACGUUGCAGUUAGCAGCGGCCUUCAUCUCAGACAGACAGCAGUAUCAGGAGACUCCGAAUCAACUGGCCUCUGCAUCCAGCUCCAUUUGUGAGACCACCACCCUGGCAAUCCCUCUGCCAGCACCUAACCUGGGAAGUAUUUCCAUCUGGAGUGGGAAACACCUGACUUCUGCCACCCUUCACUGUUCUGGAAGGUCUGUUCCUUCUGUGGUCCUCAGCAAAACAGGGUCUCAGGUGUUCUGGAGACCUUGGUCUACAUGAAUGUCUUCUUAUUCAUGCAUGGGUAUGUGAAAAGAACCUUGCCUGUACUGGAGCCUCUAAUUUAUUUCUCAGUGGAUAAAUGUUUUCAGGAAAUCCGUUCCUGCCUAUGGUGGGAUGUAUUUAGCCUCUUGUUCUUGCUGUGUCUCUUGUCUUAACCUCCACAUGCAAGCUGAUUUUCUUCAGAUACUGCUGUUUCAUACUGUGCUUAGUAUUGCUCAUGUAUUUUAAAUAAAAAUAUUUACAGAAAAACA